CUUAUACUAGAUUUUGACCCGCGCUUUCAAAGCGCGGGUUUAUUUUUUUUUAUUUUUUAAAAUUGAAAAAUAUUUAGUAAAUGUCAUAUUUUCAUAUAUUUGUUUUUGAUAAAAAACUUAAACUUUUUAUCUUUCUUUAUCGUGUUUUAUUUUAAAUGAGUAUAGGCCUGAGCACAAUAUCCGGACCCGAAGAACCGACCCAAAAAUCAGGGUUCCGAACCGAUCAGACCCGGAGUAAAUAUCCGAAUGAAUUCUAAAUUGCUAUAUCCGAAGAACCAGUCCCGAACCGAGAAAUAAAUGAGUACCCGAAGAUAUCCGAAAUGUUCUUAUGCAUGAGAACCGAACCCACCCGGACCCGGAAAGAUCCAACUCGAACCCGACCUGAAAUUUUAUAAGACCCGAAUGGGGUUUAAUUUCAAAACCCGAAAAAUCUGAUACCCGAAAGAACCGAUUCGUACCCGAAUGAGUACCCGAACGUCCAGGUCUAAUGAGUAUUUAUGUUUAGAAAAUUACACUUUAUUUUUUAAUAAAUUAAGUUGGUCUAACUCUGAUAAGUUAAUUUUAUUAUGUGGUUAAUUUCUUAAAUAAAAAAAUUAUAUACUUUUAAUAAAGAUUUAUACUUUUCAAUGAAAAAAUUCAAAUUUUUUUUAUGAA